rnacentral:lncRNA from 1 species
CUAACUAGUAAUCCUUACUAUUUCUUCUACCUUUCUACUUUAUAUUUUAUUUGUUUUUUCUUUUUUGGAUAUUGAUUUGGGAUGUCGUUAAAUGAUAAUUCCUAUUUUACAUUUCUCAUUUUAAAUGCUUAUCUUCCUGGUCACUUACAGUUAUUACAUUCAGGAAAACUGGCCCAUUUAAAUUUCCAAAUAUAAAUAACAUUGGUUGGUGGCACAGUGUUUUCACAGAAUACUUGUUGUGAGAUCACAGUCACCAUUACUUAUGUGGCUGUCAGUUGUUAAAUCAGUUGUUGUUAUUUUUUUGGUCCACCAAGACUGUACCUUAGUAGAGCUCAUCACAACCAUGCAGUACCCUUUCCCCAGACAAGGUGUUUGUUUCACAAAACAAAAGAUGUUCUGCGAACUUCAUCAUGAAAUCUAAUAUUGAAAUAUUUGGUGUGAGAUGCAGGAGGCAGUGUCAAAAAUUACUUUUUAAUAUCUAAGGAAGUCUUUGGUUUUACGAGAUGACAGCAGAUAUUCUCUAUUUUGAGGAUUCUCCUGAAGGUAGUCUUUUUUUCCUUGUAAGAGCUCAAGAAGUGGUUUGGUUUGGUUUUUAAACUUCUUCUGUAGGGACACUUGGCAUCUGUUUUGUACAUGUGUGUCUCAAGUCCUGUGAUGAUGAAUCACCUUUGAUUUUGUAACUUCCAGUGGUUUUCGUUUAAAGCAACUUCUUGCACCCUUUCUCUCUUUUCUCUUCUUGCUCCGCCCUUGCCUGUCCCCAGUCUGUUCUUAUGGAACAAGCUGAAACCAUUGGUGGGGUUUUUGGGGGGGAAGGGGGUGAGGGGGAAGUGUUUUGUUUUGGUUUUUAAUACUUGAGUCAAACCCUUCUUAAGAAGUCUUGGUAAUUAAUGCCUGGCAUAUGCUAUUUCUUCUCCUUCAUAAGGAUUUUUUCAAUACCCACUUGCUUACCGUUUGGGUUCGAAACAUCAUGAUGUAAAUAAUAAAAGUGUUGCAUGAAAAUGUGGAAGACGAGGUUUGAUUAUCUGGGAUAUUUUGGAAGGAAGAAGAGCAACUAAAGAGAAAACCUGGGAAACUAUCGUCAAUGCAUUCCAGAAAUCUCCUGGAUAUCUUGUGCCUUAUUUGGCAUCAAAAGUAGCCUGCAACUGCAAAAUAGCCUUGAAAAUACCAAAGGUAAGAAAUGAUGGGUGUUGGAAGGAGAUUCUUGAGAUGCUCAAGCUGUUCUGCCAUAGCCUUGGUGUCCAGAGGAAAAGUGUGUCUGAGCUGUCCCAGCCUGACAGAGAAGUUGGGCAAGUAGCCCUGAAAACAGCAGCUUCUUGCCAUUGAUGAA